GAUUAAGUUAUUAAGGGCGCACGGUGGAUGCCUUGGCACUAGAAGCCGAUGAAGGACGUUACUAACGACGAUAUGCUUUGGGGAGCUGUAAGUAAGCUUUGAUCCAGAGAUUUCCGAAUGGGGAAACCCAGCAUGAGUUAUGUCAUGUUAUCGAUAUGUGAAUACAUAGCAUAUCAGAAGGCACACCCGGAGAACUGAAACAUCUUAGAACCCGGAGGAAGAGAAAGAAAAUUCGAUUGCCUUAGAAGCGGGGGGGUAGG
rnacentral:rRNA from 1 species